UGAGGCAGGAGAAUUGCUUGAACCCAGGAGGUGGAGGUUGCAGUGAGCCUAGAUAGUGCCACUGUACUCCAGCCUGGGUGACAGAGCGAGACUCCA
ensembl:miRNA